rnacentral:rRNA from 1 species
AUGGCUAGUGGGGAUGAAUUCUUUUUCAACAACUUCAUUUGUGAUUCGGACGAUUCAUCGUUGGAUGGUGUAGAAUUUGUGGUUGCUACUUUGAUCGUCAAUGGGCACAUUGCUAGGCAGUGGCCGAGAUUCAGGGGAUCCAUUCCGAGCCAUGCUCUGGCGUUGAAUCAAAAUAGAGAGAGCAGACAUUGCCUAUUCUUCACCGACUACUUUCAGUGCACAUCCCCACUCUUCAGUCCUAAGCAUUUCCAGCACCGCUUCCGGAUGGCGACAUGUGUUCAACCAUAUUCAGGAGGAAUGGUGGCGCAUGAUGAUUACUUUAGAUGCAAAGAGCAGGCCCUUGGAAUGGUUGGCUUCUCUUCUUUUAUCAGAAUGCACUGCGAUGGUUCGGAUGCUUGCAUACGGAAUUCAUGGUGA